CCACAUGCAAAACAUACAACACUUAGAACAGGGAUAGAGUUACCCUCCUUCUUCGCGACCGGAGAAGAACGACCUUCAAUCGCCAGAUAAAACCCUAGGUCUAAAACCCUAGGUCCAACCACCGGAUACCGUACUGGAAACUUACUGGAAUAGGGUCAGGGAUGUCGGAAAAUCACCCAAAACAUCCACCGAGUGAGGAUCGAGCCAUCGGAUAGCAGUAAAACCCUAGGUUCAACCACCGGAAACACUAGAAUCUGGAGAGUCACCGAAAAAAGGUCAGGGAUGUCGGAAAAUCACCCAAAUCCACUGAGUGAAGAUCGAAGCAUCAAACAGCAGUAAAAGCUCCGAUUAUCCGUUCAGUACACAUCGUUCUCUCGGUAAACAAAAUCUCACAAAUAUCCGAGAAAAAACCUUCAAUAAAACUUCCAACGCAAUCGAUAACAAGUAACGGAGAAGAAUUCGAGGAUCAUCCCGCUUUGAUACCAUGAAAACGUACAGACUGAAGGCAAAGUGAUGAAGAACACAGUGAGAGAAAGAGAGAGAAGUUGAGAGAACUCUCU
rnacentral:lncRNA from 1 species